rnacentral:tRNA from 1 species
UAUAGUUUAGUGUAAGGAGCACAAAGGACUUUGAAACCUUUAGAACGAGUUCAAUUCUCACAUCUAUAA